rfam:Lactobacillus equi DPC 6820 NODE_15, whole genome shotgun sequence.
GGGUGGUUAGCUCAGCUGGCAGAGCAACGGACUCUUAAUCCGUGGGUCCAGGGUUCG